GGUGUUGUGGCUCAGUGGUAGAGCACUUGCCUGGCAUGUGUGAGGAACUGGGUUCGAUCCUUAGCACUACGU
rfam:Ictidomys tridecemlineatus contig085792, whole genome shotgun sequence.